CCUACGGGAGGCAGCAGUGAGGAAUAUUGGUCAAUGGCCGGAAGGCUGAACCAGCCAAGCAGCGUGAAGGACGAAGGUGCCAAGCAUUGUAAACUUCUUUUGUCAAGGGACAAAAUCAGGCUCGAGAGCCUGACCGAGGGUACCUGAAGAAAAAGCAUCGGCUAACUCCGUGCCAGCAGCCGCGGUAAUACGGAGGACGCGAGCGUUAUCCGGAUUUAUUGGGUUUAAAGGGUGCGUAGGCGGACUGUCAAGUCAGCGGUAAAAGCCCGGGGCUCAACCCCGGCGAGCCGUUGAAACUGGCUGUCGUGAGAUGUCGACAGGUAUGCGGAAUGCGCGGUGUAGCGGUGAAAUGCUUAGAUAUUGCGCAGAACUCCGAUUGCGAAGGCAGCAUACCGGCGGCGAUCUGACGCUGAGGCACGAAAGCGUGGGUAUCGAACAGGAUUAGAUACCCGGGUAGUC
rnacentral:rRNA from 1 species